rnacentral:rRNA from 1 species
GAUGAACGCUAGCUACAGGCUUAACACAUGCAAGUCGAGGGGCAGCAUGGUCUUAGCUUGCUAAGGCCGAUGGCGACCGGCGCACGGGUGAGUAACACGUAUCCAACCUGCCGUCUACUCUUGGACAGCCUUCUGAAAGGAAGAUUAAUACAAGAUGGCAUCAUGAGUCCGCAUGUUCACAUGAUUAAAGGUAUUCCGGUAGACGAUGGGGAUGCGUUCCAUUAGAUAGUAGGCGGGGUAACGGCCCACCUAGUCUUCGAUGGAUAGGGGUUCUGAGAGGAAGGUCCCCCACACUGGUACUGAGACACGGACCAG